rnacentral:rRNA from 1 species
GGGCUGAUUAAGAGUAUGCCUGCCCAGUGGACCCAUGUGUUCACGGCCGCAGUAUUUUAACCGCGCGAAGGUAGCGUAAUCACUUGUUUUCUAAAUAAAGACUAGUAUGAACGGCCACACGAGGACUUAACUGUCUCCUUUAUCUAAUCAGUGAAACUGAUCCCCCCGUGCAGAAGCGGGGAUAACACCAUAAGACGAGAAGACCCUAUGGAGCUUUAAACCAAACUAACUACCCUUCUUAAACCUCUAAAGAGCCAACACAUUUAGGUAGCAUUAACUUUGGUUUUAGGUUGGGGCGACCAUGAAAAAAAACUUAACCUUCCUGAUGACUUUUAAACUAAGAGUUACAACUCUAAGUAUUAAGACUCUUAACCUUCAUUGACCCACUUUGUGACCAACGAACCAAGUUACCCUAGGGAUAACAGCGCAAUCCAUUUCAAGAGUCCUUAUCGACAAAUGGGUUUACGACCUCGAUGUUGGAUCAGGGCACCCAAGUGGUGCAACCGCUACUAAAGGUUCGUUUGUUCAACGAUUAAAGCCCUACGUGAUCUGAGUUCAAAACCGGAUUAUAUAUUU